rnacentral:misc_RNA from 1 species
AAGAUUGCCAGGGGUGGAAACCAUAUCCCAUCUAAAGCUGAGUAAAAACAUUUCACUAUAACUGCGGUCCCAGGUCCAGACUGUUUGUACUGAGAAGAGCUGUACUCUUAUCGCGAAUUACUGUAUAUGUUCACACUUAACUUUCUAUUUUGUUUUCAAACUUAACCAACAUUGUCUCAAUGCAUAGAAUAUGAGUUUGUGUUACUGUUCAUUUCAUUUCAUCUUUGAUUCAGUAA